UUAUAAGCGCCAGAACUUAGUAAUUGACAAAAUACAAAUACUUCAUGGCUACUAAGUUGACGAGGUCAGAGUUUAUCGAAUUAUCGGCGGAUGCUCUGCGGUGUGGUUACCAUCGUGAGGAUUUCCUUAAAUCUUAGAAGUAAUUCUUUGGACAAAGGGAAAUUUAA
rnacentral:ncRNA from 1 species